rnacentral:rRNA from 1 species
UACGUAGGGUGCGAGCGUUAAUCGGAAUUACUGGGCGUAAAGCGUGCGCAGGCGGUGAUGUAAGGCAGUUGUGAAAUCCCCGGGCUCAACCUGGGAACUGCAUCUGGGACUGCAUCGCUGGAGUGCGGCAGAGGGGGAUGGAAUUCCGCGUGUAGCAGUGAAAUGCGUAGAUAUGCGGAGGAACACCGAUGGCGAAGGCAAUCCCCUGGGCCUGCACUGACGCUCAUGCACGAAAGCGUGGGGAGCAAACAGG